rnacentral:rRNA from 1 species
GUGAGGUAACGGCUCACCAAGGCAUCGACGGGUAGCUGGUCUGAGAGGACGAUCAGCCACACUGGGACUGAGACACGGCCCAGACUCCUACGGGAGGCAGCAGUGGGGAAUCUUGCGCAAUGGGCGAAAGCCUGACGCAGCGAUGCCGCGUGGGGGAUGAAGGCUCUCGGGUCGUAAACCCCUUUCAGCAGGGACGAAAAUGACGGUACCUGCAGAAGAAGCCCCGGCCAACUACGUGCCAGCAGCCGCGGUAACACGUAGGGGGCGAGCGUUGUCCGGAUUUAUUGGGCGUAAAGAGCUCGUAGGCUGUUCAGUAAGUCAGGUGUGAAAACCCAAGGCUCAACCUUGGGACGCCACUUGAUACUGCUGUGACUAGAGUCCGGUAGAGGAGAUUGGAAUUCCUGGUGUAGCGGUGAAAUGCGCAGAUAUCAGGAGGAACACCAACGGCGAAGGCAGAUCUCUGGGCCGGUACUGACGCUGAGGAGCGAAAGCGUGGGGAGCGAACAGGAUUAGAUACCCUGGUAGUCCACGCCGUAAACGUUGGGCACUAGGUGUGGGGUCUAUUCAACGGAUUCCGUGCCGUAGCUAACGCAUUAAGUG